AAGGGUUCUGUGGCGCCGUAUCGCGGCCGCAAAUAUGCGCGCGCAUUGCAUGCGCCUCCCCAUCGCAUGCAUCAUGGCAUGCAUCCCCAUUGCAUGCGCCUCCCCAUCGACCCACUGAUGCUACUUUAGUACACCAUCAUUUAUUUUGUGAGUGUGCUGUCAUGCUGUGUUUACGUGGUGAGCGAGCAGGUAAACAAACUCACUUUCCUGCUGCUGUCGCUUACGAGCACCUUCAAAGCUUCUGCUGAUGUUAAUUGUGCCCGUCAAGAUCUAGCCGAUCUUUGCACCGUUGACAACAAUUAGCUGCAAGUGCUGAUUGCUGCUGGGUGGCUCAGUCCAGAAUCUGGUGGCAAGGCAUCUUCAGAUUUAGGCCAGUAAGGCUGGCCAGUUAUGUGUUGGAAGUUCCCACAAUGCAUUAAAUGUGCAUAUAAGAUUGUCUAGGCCAGAACUCUUAUAUUACUGUGGUGCCCUUGGUGCCUGAUGCCAUCACAAGAGAAACUAGAAGAUUCCAGAAAAUUUGUGUCCAGCUGUCUCAAGACAAUAAAUCAUACUGAAAUAA